rnacentral:pre_miRNA from 1 species
CACCUGGGAAUCUUGCUAAACAUUUUGAUUCAGUGAGAAGGGAUGAGGCCCAAGAUUCUGGAUUUCUAGCAAGCUCUUAAGUGAUG